rnacentral:lncRNA from 1 species
GCUGGCCGGAGAGCAGUAGCAGUGGGUGGGCUGGCCGGAAGCAGGGGACGUAGGGGUGGCUACAGCUUCUUCUUCCUCUCUUGUUUCUUCUUUUUUUUUUUUUUUUUUUUUUGAACGAGAUGGGGGCAGUGAGGAGGUCGAGCGGUGGUCGACCGGUGGUUGAAGGUCGCUGGCCGGGGAAACAGCGGUGGCGGUGGAGAAAGAGUUGCCUUGUAGUGGUGGUGGGGAAGAAGGGAAGCAAGGUUGUGGCGGGCUGCGCCAAGGAUCAUUGCUCCGAUACCACAUGGUAAGACCCUAAAGUCUUAUCGUCGCUCUAAUACCAAAUAAUAAGAUCCUAAAGUCU